CCAUAAGAAGCAAUUCAGAGAAAUGUGAAAAUGUAAUUUACUGGGGUUCAGCUAGGACACCCAUCUUGUUCUAAAUCCAACAAGUUGAUCACAUGUGAGGGGCCCCAGCGUACCUUAAAAUAUAUCCAUUAAUUCCCAGAGAUUAAAAUCCAUGUGCUUAAGAACAACCACAACAAAAAUACCAGCUGCCUUUUGAAAGCAAGGGCGUUGGGAAAUGAAUGGAAUCUCGCGCUCCUGCUCUGUGUUCAAGAGCUUCGGCUACUGUGUUACAUCAGGAACGGCCAGUGCCUGGACCCCACCCUCCCCCACUCCCUUUUAAUUCAAUGGCUACGUGGGGGCUUCUUUGAUGGAGGCUUUGAAGUCGGUGGCUUUGAGAUUACUCUUCCUCUGUGACCUUGACCACCAGCCAUGAGAGCCGAGAACACAGCCAAGCCAGCAGGGAGAGUCUGUCAUUGAAGCCUAGAUCUCAUUGGAAUGACGUAAUGUAUUCACACAUACUGAGGAAGAGAAAUGAAUGCUUACUGCGGCUACCCUGCUUAGCUCCCAAGUAGUCAGAGGGGGAAAAUCACAUGGGCAGUGACAGAGAGAGGACCCAAGGAACUGUUUGUUUUCCCCUAGGUCUAAAGCCAAAACAAAGACAUGGAUAGCAGUGGUCACAAUUUGGGCUGCACCUGCAUCUUUACAACCAACCCUGACUCUGAUGAGAGCCAAGCUCCUAGUUCAGGAAACCGGAUGCAAUGGAAUGUACUGUAACCAAUACCCACAGGGAGCCGAGACCAAAGGUUUAUUUGAGUCAAGAAUCAGCUCAUGGAUGAACUCUGGGAAUCAUCUGUCUCUACCAUGCAUGAUUAGCCAAACAGUUCUGAAUUGGAAGGAACUAUGCACCCAAGACUAAUUUUGAAAGGAAUACGAGGAACAAAAUUGAAUGCUGGGAGAUUCUGUAAUCAAGAUGAAUAGUUUCUCAACAUUAAGGAACUGUGAGGAUGUUGGGCUAGGUAAGCAUAGUAAUAAAUUAAAUGAAAGGUUUCCGGAUGGCCAGGAUCAUGAUGGGCAGAACCUGGACAGCCAGGGUGGUAGAGCACCCAAGCCUAUCCGUGAUAGGUACCCGUUAGUUCUGAAGACUUGCCAUGUUUCAGAUAUUUGGCUGUGUUUGUUGUGAUGGCAGGAUUUUCAGAAAGUUUGGAAAUAUUUAAACAUUUCAUGGUUAGGACCUUAGGGUUUGGAGGUGGGCGGGGUUCAUUGACUUUUUUCAUACUGACGCUUGGAGGUCUGUUAGUUACCCCACACCUCAUGCUUCCAAAACCAACACCUCCCACCUACCUCCACCCUAGUUUAUCUGUUGAAGUCCAUAGGACAUCUAUCCAUUUUACUAUUAAUCUGAACAAAACACCAAAGCACAGGCACAUUUUUGCCGAGAUGGGUUUGCUUAAUACCCUGAAGCUAGAUAUAAAUUAUUUGUUAUUAUCUAGUCUUCAAAAACAUUCCCCUCUGAAUUUUGAAUCAUUUCCUGGCUGCCUUCAAGUUCAAUUUAGCUAUGUGCUCAAAGGAUGCUAUAACCAGUACACCAGUAAGUCUUUAUUUAGCUAGCUUCCACAGCACUCUUUUCAAAGAAGACUCCAUGUCCCAAUACUGAUUCUAAGUGCAUUUAUUAAUCAAACUGGAGACAAAGUUUCUUACCUUCUCUCUGGACUAAGAAUCCAAUUUUUCCUUGACAACAUACUUCCAAUGUCAGGGGUUAAGCUUUUAUUAACUCUUUCUAAAUCCACCCUCAAGUGGUUUGUGAAACAUCCCUAGAGUACAAGGUUGACCUCAGCCUGAGCUUCACCGUCUUUAAUUGGAUUGGAGUUUUCCCUCUCUUCCCUCAUUCCUUUAGGCGCCAAUCAGAAGCCACUGAGCUCCUGGGGUAUAUUAAUUACACGUAUUUUGACCAUGUCUUGGAUUUCCUCUCUGUUCAUAUCAUCUCUCUACUGUUCUCUACCACAAAACAGUUCAGGGACCCACUCUUUGGGAGUUUCCUGUUCCCAAGCAAUGCGGAGAGGACAACCUAUCUGAAUGCAUGGAGAAAUUCCUAUGGUAUCACAUGGCGAGGAAAAGAUUUCCUUUCCAUAUUCAUAGUGUUGCCAAGAGUUAAGGACAUGCCUCAGGCACCUGAGUAAAUUCUAGAGAAGUCUCCAUGGAGGGUAUUGGCCUUUGGAGGAAGGACUGAAACCAACUGCUAAAUAGGAUAUCUACAUUGGAAAAUUUUUAAAUGAAAAUGAUCACAAAAAUGUAAUGCAAGUAGGAGGGUUGUUUUUUUUUCAUGAUUUUGUACAAACAGAGCUUUGCAUCUAGCAGAGCACCAGAUACUCUCACUUCUUUAUCAUGAGCAUGGUGAAUGCUGUCUUCAACGCACAGAGAACAGGAUGCUGAGAGAUCUUAAGGGGUUGUUCAAUGCCAGAGAAGCUGACUGUGUACAAAGCUAAGUGUCUCUUCUGCCUUAUUUGCUUCUCCUUCUCGUAUGAACACCAACUCAUGUUCACUUACCCAAUAAGUGGUGCAACUUAAAACCUACAGCUAGCAAAGAUACUGAACCCAUGGAAUUAAACUGCAUGUCUGAAUCCAUUCUCCCCUUUCUCCCGACCAUACAACCAGCACCCCUUCCUUCCACCACACUGGUAGAUUAUGCUAAGACUGCUGAACUCCCUCCCUAGCGUAAAAGGUGGCUACUGUUCAUGACAUUCCUCUCUCUGAAUUGUCCGUCCUGACUUUGUCCAUCUGCUCUCAAGCCCAUUUGCUCCAUCUGUGCUUUAAGAUUGUGCUCCUCCCUUCCACUGUUCGCCAUGUAACAUCAGAUCAUACCCUUGAACUAAAUCAGUGAAAUGAUGUAUCUAAAAAGCAGGCUGAAAACGAUACUGUUGAUGACAGCUGUUUUGAGUGUUAUGGUUUGUAUAUGCUUGCCCCAAGGAAUGGCACUAUUAAAAGGUACGGCCCUGUUAGAGUAGGUGUAGCCUUGGUGGAGUAGAUGUGUCACUGUGGAUGUGGGCUUUAAGACCCUCAUCCUACCUGUCUGGAAGCUAGUAUUCUGCUAGCAGCCUUCAGAUGAAGUUGUAGAACUCUCAGCUCCUCCUGCACCAUGCCUGCCUGGAUGCUGCCAUGUUUCCACAUUGAUGAUAAUAACUGAACCUCUGAACCUAUAAGCCAGCCCCAAUUAAAAAUUGUCCUUAUAAGAGUUGCCUUGGUCAUGGUGUCUGUUCACAGCAGUAAAACCCUAACUAAUACAUAGAGUUUUGUACUUAGCACAAUAUAUAUCAAAUGGUAAUAAAUCAAUAAAUAUUUGUACUAGCUUAUG